rnacentral:rRNA from 1 species
UAGGGAAUCUUCGGCAAUGGACGAAAGUCUGACCGAGCAACGCCGCGUGAGUGAAGAAGGUUUUCGGAUCGUAAAACUCUGUUGUUAGAGAAGAACAAGGACGUUAGUAACUGAACGUCCCCUGACGGUAUCUAACCAGAAAGCCACGGCUAACUACGUGCCAGCAGCCGCGGUAAUACGUAGGUGGCAAGCGUUGUCCGGAUUUAUUGGGCGUAAAGCGAGCGCAGGCGGUUUCUUAAGUCUGAUGUGAAAGCCCCCGGCUCAACCGGGGAGGGUCAUUGGAAACUGGGAGACUUGAGUGCAGAAGAGGAGGGUGGAAUUCCAUGUGUAGCGGUGAAAUGCGUAGAUAUGUGGAGGAACACCAGUGGCGAAGGCGGCUCUCUGGUCUGUAACUGACGCUGAGGCUAGAAAGCGUGGGGAGCAAACAGG